AAUCCUGAGUUUUCCCCCCACAUGUUCAAUUUGGAAGUUAAUACUGCACAAAUGUCACGGAUCUAGAUGCUGUUGAGUUCAAGGUCGGCAGGAGCAUUUUGGUUCGUGCCAGAUAAGGCCAGGAAAUGGAAGCAGUGGCGUCAUCUGCACGCAUUGUACUAACAGAGCAGCACACGCCAGUUGCUUACGGCGUCAUCAGGUGAUCUCAAGAUGGACACGGUUUUCUGUUCUAAGUGUAGUUGUAGGUUUACAAAUAUAUGAGUGCGAGUGAGAUGUGUGUGUAGGAUUAGUGUGCGUGCAUGUAAAAAUAUAUACUAUAGCUAUACUCAGAUGACUUAUAUAAAAAAAA